rnacentral:rRNA from 1 species
UACGAGGGGGGCAAGCGUUGUUCGGAAUUAUUGGGCGUAAAGGGCGCGUAGGCGGUUUGACAAGUCUUAUGUGAAAUCUCUGGGCUCAACCCAGAGUCUGCAUGGGAAACUGUCGGGCUUGAGUAUGGGAGAGGUGAGUGGAAUUUCCGGCGUAGCGGUGAAAUGCGUAGAUAUCGGAAGGAACACCUGUGGCGAAAGCGGCUCACUGGACCAUAACUGACGCUGAGGCGCGAAAGCUAGGGGAGCAAACAGG